CUAAGGAGCUCACUGAGGCUUCGGCCUCGAGCACCCAGUCAAUGCGAUGGCUGAAACGGUCGACCGAAAGGCCGGCCGGACACACUGUUCAGUCGUGAGGGAGCGGGGAAUGCCCGCCUCUCCGGCACCUUGAGAACUGCAUAGCGAGCACAAGCGUCUUGGAUUCUACC
rnacentral:misc_RNA from 1 species